rnacentral:tRNA from 1 species
UCUUUGGUGAUCUAGUGGUUAGGACUUGGCACUUUCAGUGCUAUAGCCCAGGUUCAAUUCUUGGUCUGGGAA